AGAGUUUGAUCAUGGCUCAGAUUGAACGCUGGCGGCAGGCCUAACACAUGCAAGUCGAGCGGAAACGAGUUAUCUGAACCUUCGGGGGACGAUAACGGCGUCGAGCGGCGGACGGGUGAGUAAUGCCUAGGAAAUUGCCCUGAUGUGGGGGAUAACCAUUGGAAACGAUGGCUAAUACCGCAUGAUGCCUACGGGCCAAAGAGGGGGACCUUCGGGCCUCUCGCGUCAGGAUAUGCCUAGGUGGGAUUAGCUAGUUGGUGAGGUAAGGGCUCACCAAGGCGACGAUCCCUAGCUGGUCUGAGAGGAUGAUCAGCCACACUGGAACUGAGACACGGUCCAGACUCCUACGGGAGGCAGCAGUGGGGAAUAUUGCACAAUGGGCGCAAGCCUGAUGCAGCCAUGCCGCGUGUGUGAAGAAGGCCUUCGGGUUGUAAAGCACUUUCAGUCGUGAGGAAGGUGGUGUAGUUAAUAGCUGCAUUAUUUGACGUUAGCGACAGAAGAAGCACCGGCUAACUCCGUGCCAGCAGCCGCGGUAAUACGGAGGGUGCGAGCGUUAAUCGGAAUUACUGGGCGUAAAGCGCAUGCAGGUGGUUUGUUAAGUCAGAUGUGAAAGCCCGGGGCUCAACCUCGGAAUAGCAUUUGAAACUGGCAGACUAGAGUACUGUAGAGGGGGGUAGAAUUUCAGGUGUAGCGGUGAAAUGCGUAGAGAUCUGAAGGAAUACCGGUGGCGAAGGCGGCCCCCUGGACAGAUACUGACACUCAGAUGCGAAAGCGUGGGGAGCAAACAGGAUUAGAUACCCUGGUAGUCCACGCCGUAAACGAUGUCUACUUGGAGGUUGUGGCCUUGAGCCGUGGCUUUCGGAGCUAACGCGUUAAGUAGACCGCCUGGGGAGUACGGUCGCAAGAUUAAAACUCAAAUGAAUUGACGGGGGCCCGCACAAGCGGUGGAGCAUGUGGUUUAAUUCGAUGCAACGCGAAGAACCUUACCUACUCUUGACAUCCAGAGAACUUUCCAGAGAUGGAUUGGUGCCUUCGGGAACUCUGAGACAGGUGCUGCAUGGCUGUCGUCAGCUCGUGUUGUGAAAUGUUGGGUUAAGUCCCGCAACGAGCGCAACCCUUAUCCUUGUUUGCCAGCGAGUAAUGUCGGGAACUCCAGGGAGACUGCCGGUGAUAAACCGGAGGAAGGUGGGGACGACGUCAAGUCAUCAUGGCCCUUACGAGUAGGGCUACACACGUGCUACAAUGGCGCAUACAGAGGGCGGCCAACUUGCGAAAGUGAGCGAAUCCCAAAAAGUGCGUCGUAGUCCGGAUUGGAGUCUGCAACUCGACUCCAUGAAGUCGGAAUCGCUAGUAAUCGUGGAUCAGAAUGCCACGGUGAAUACGUUCCCGGGCCUUGUACACACCGCCCGUCACACCAUGGGAGUGGGCUGCAAAAGAAGUAGGUAGUUUAACCUUCGGGGGGACGCUUACCACUUUGUGGUUCAUGACUGGGGUGAAGUCGUAACAAGGUAGCCGUA
rnacentral:rRNA from 2 species